ACGCUCGACACCUACGGAGGCAGCAGUGGGGAAUAUUGCACAAUGGGGGAAACCCUGAUGCAGCGACGCCGCGUGAGUGAAGAAGUAUUUCGGUAUGUAAAGCUCUAUCAGCAGGGAAGAGAAUGACGGUACCUGACUAAGAAGCCCCGGCUAACUACGUGCAAGCAGCCGCGGUAAUCUGAGCGGGCUGGCAAGGC
rnacentral:rRNA from 1 species